GGUUUACCUGUGUGACUGCGUACCUUUUGUAUAAUGGGUCAGCGACUUAUAUUCUGUAGCAAGGUUAACCGUAUAGGGGAGCCGGAGGGAAACCGAGUCUUAAUUGGGCGUUAAGUUGCAGGGUAUAGACCCGAAACCCGGUGAUCUAGCCAUGGGCAGGUUGAAGGUUGGGUAACACUAACUGGAGGACCGAACCGACUAAUGUUGAAAAAUUAGCGGAUGACCUGUGGCUGGGGGUGAAAGGCCAAUCAAACCGGGAGAUAGCUGGUUCUCCCCGAAAGCUAUUUAGGUAGCGCCUCGUGAAUUCAUCUCCGGGGGUAGAGCACUGUUUCGGCUAGGGGGCCAUCCCGGCUUACCAACCCGAUGCAAACUGCGAAUACCGGAGAAUGUUAUCACGGGAGACACACGGCGGGUGCUAACGUCCGUCGUGAAGAGGGAAACAACCCAGACCGCCAGCUAAGGUCCCAAAGUCAUGGUUAAGUGGGAAACGAUGUGGGAAGGCCCAGACAGCCAGGAUGUUGGCUUAGAAGCAGCCAUCAUUUAAAGAAAGCGUAAUAGCUCACUGGUCGAGUCGGCCUGCGCGGAAGAUGUAACGGGGCUAAACCAUGCACCGAAGCUGCGGCAGCGAACGUAUCACCCAAGACAACUUUACGGAGUUGACGAUUGACGGAGCGAAGCGACGUCAAAGCGUUCAUUAAAGUCGAGUUGGCUUAGGGAUACGUUCGUUGGGUAGGGGAGCGUUCUGUAAGCCUGUGAAGGUGUGUCGUGAGGCAUGCUGGAGGUAUCAGAAGUGCGAAUGCUGACAUAAGUAACGAUAAAGCGGGUGAAAAGCCCGCUCGCCGGAAGACCAAGGGUUCCUGUCCAACGUUAAUCGGGGCAGGGUGAGUCGACCCCUAAGGCGAGGCCGAAAGGCGUAGUCGAUGGGAAACGGGUUAAUAUUCCCGUACUUGGUGUUACUGCGAAGGGGGGACGGAGAAGGCUAUGUUGGCCGGGCGACGGUUGUCCCGGUUUAAGCGUGUAGGUGUGUGUUCCAGGUAAAUCCGGUUCACUUUAACACUGAGGCGUGACGACGAGGCACUACGGUGCUGAAGCAACAAAUGCCCUGCUUCCAGGAAAA
rnacentral:rRNA from 1 species